rnacentral:rRNA from 1 species
AUACGUAGGGGGCGAGCGUUGUCCGGAAUGAUUGGGCGUAAAGGGCGCGUAGGCGGCGCGGUAAGUCUGGAGUGAAAGUCCUGCUUUCAAGGUGGGAAUUGCUUUGGAUACUGCCGCGCUUGAGUGCAGGAGAGGUUAUCGGAAUUCCCGGUGUAGCGGUGAAAUGCGUAGAGAUCGGGAGGAACACCAGUGGCGAAGGCGGGUAACUGGCCUGCAACUGACGCUGAGGCGCGAAAGUGUGAGGAGCAAACGGGAUUAGAUACCCUGGUAGUCCACGCCGUAAACGAUGGAUACUAGGUGUGGGGGGACUGACCCCUUCCGUGCCGGAGUUAACACAAUAAGUAUCCCACCUGGGGAGUACGGUCGCAAGAUUAAAACUCAAAUGAAUUGACGGGG